GCGUACGGCUCCUUAACACGUAGUCAACCUGCCCUAGAGACAUGGACAACCCCGGGAAACUGGGAUUAAUCCGUGAUAGGUCAUCUCAUCUGGAAGGAGAGAUGGCUUAAAGGGAUGUAUGGGCUUCUUCCGUGCAUUCGCUCUAGGAUGGGACUGCGUCCGAUCAGGCUGUUGGCGGGGUAAUGGCCCACCAAACCUGUAACCGGUACGGGCCUUGAGAGAGGUGGCCCGGAGAUGGACACUGAGAGAAGGGUCCAGGUCCUACGGGGCGCAGCAGGCGCGAAACCUUCGCAAUGCGCGAAAGCGUGACGAGGUUAAUCCGAGUGGUCCCCGCUGAGGGGAUCUUUUGUCAGCUGUAAAUAGGCAGGCGAAUAAGGGGAGGGCAAGCCUGGUGUCAGCCGCCGCGGUAAUACCAGCUCCUCGAGUGGUCGGGGCGAUUAUUGGGCCUAAAGCAUCCGUAGCCGGUUCCGUAGGUCCUCUGUUAAAUCCAACCGCUUAACGGUUGACCUGCAGAGGAUACCGCGGGACUAGGAGGCGGGAGAGGCGGACGGUACUCCGCGUGUAGGGGUAAAAUCCUUUGAUCCGCGGAAGA
rnacentral:rRNA from 1 species